rnacentral:rRNA from 1 species
GACGAACGCUGGCGGCGUGCCUAAUACAUGCAAGUCGAGCGGACUUUCAAGAAGCUUGCUUUUUGAAAGUUAGCGGCGGACGGGUGAGUAACACGUGGGCAACCUGCCUGCAAGACGGGGAUAACUCCGGGAAACCGGGGCUAAUACCGGAUAAUAUCUUCAUUCGCAUGAUGCAAGGUUGAAAGGCGGCGCAACCUUCAGCUUGCAGUUGAGCCCGCGGCGCAUUAGUUAGUUGGUGAGGUAACGGUUCCCCAAGGAGACGAUGCGUAGCCGACCUGAGAGGGUGAUCGGCCACACCGGGACUGAGACACGGCCCAGACUCCUACGGGAGGCAGCAGUAGGGAAUCUUCCGCAAUGGACGAAAGUCUGACGGAGCAACGCCGCGUGAGCGAAGAAGGUCUUCGGAACGUAAAGCUCUGGUGUCAGGGAAGAACAAGUACCGUUCGAACAGAGCGGUACCUUGACGGUACCUGACCAGAAAGCCACGGCUAACUACGUG